rnacentral:rRNA from 1 species
ACUCCUACGGGAGGCAGCAGUGGGGAAUAUUGCACAAUGGGCGCAAGCCUGAUGCAGCCAUGCCGCGUGUAUGAAGAAGGCCUUCGGGUUGUAAAGUACUUUCAGCAGUGAGGAAGGUAUCGUAGUUAAUAGCUGCGGUAUUUGACGUUAGCUGCAGAAGAAGCACCGGCAAACUCCGUGCCAGCAGCCGCGGUAAUACGGAGGGUGCGAGCGUUAAUCGGAAUUACUGGGCGUAAAGCGCAUGCAGGUGGUUUGUUAAGUCAGAUGUGAAAGCCCGGGGCUCAACCUCGGAAUUGCAUUUGAAACUGGCAGACUAGAGUACUGUAGAGGGGGGUAGAAUUUCAGGUGUAGCGGUGAAAUGCGUAGAGAUCUGAAGGAAUACCGGUGGCGAAGGCGGCCCCCUGGACAGAUACUGACACUCAGAUGCGAAAGCGUGGGGAGCAAACAGGAUUAGAUACCCUGGUAGCACAGAGC